UACGUAGGGGGCAAGCGUUGUCCGGAUUUACUGGGCGUAAAGAGCGCGCAGGCGGUCGUUCAAGUCGCGUGUGAAAGCCCCCGGCUCAACUGGGGAGGGUCACGCGAUACUGAUCGACUCGAAGGCAGGAGAGGGUAGUGGAAUUCCCGGUGUAGUGGUGAAAUGCGUAGAUAUCAGGAGGAACACCGGCUGGCGAAGGCGGGUCUCUGGGCCGAUACUGACGCUGAGACGCGAAAGCGUGGGGAGCAAACAGG
rnacentral:rRNA from 1 species